rnacentral:rRNA from 1 species
AGGGGAGUGAAAAAGAACCUGAAACCGUGUACGUACAAGCAGUGGGAGCACCCUUCGGGGUGUGACUGCGUACCUUUUGUAUAAUGGGUCAGCGACUUAUAUUCUGUAGCAAGGUUAACCGUAUAGGGGAGCCGGAGGGAAACCGAGUCUUAAUUGGGCGUUAAGUUGCAGGGUAUAGACCCGAAACCCGGUGAUCUAGCCAUGGGCAGGUUGAAGGUUGGGUAACACUAACUGGAGGACCGAACCGACUAAUGUUGAAAAAUUAGCGGAUGACCUGUGGCUGGGGGUGAAAGGCCAAUCAAACCGGGAGAUAGCUGGUUCUCCCCGAAAGCUAUUUAGGUAGCGCCUCGUGAAUUCAUCUCCGGGGGUAGAGCACUGUUUCGGCUAGGGGGCCAUCCCGGCUUACCAACCCGAUGCAAACUGCGAAUACCGGAGAAUGUUAUCACGGGAGACACACGGCGGGUGCUAACGUCCGUCGUGAAGAGGGAAACAACCCAGACCGCCAGCUAAGGUCCCAAAGUCAUGGUUAAGUGGGAAACGAUGUGGGAAGGCCCAGACAGCCAGGAUGUUGGCUUAGAAGCAGCCAUCAUUUAAAGAAAGCGUAAUAGCUCACUGGUCGAGUCGGCCUGCGCGGAAGAUGUAACGGGGCUAAACCAUGCACCGAAGCUGCGGCAGCGACGCUGAUGCGUUGUUGGGUAGGGGAG